UCCAGAAAAGCGACAACGGUAAGCUUACCGAAGAAGGUCAGUGCGUCUUCCAGAAGAUUACAUCUAUAAAUAAACCCAACGCUUUUCGCUUUUCUUCUCACAUCACUUAUCCCCCUUUUCUCUCUCAAGUAGAAACCCAUCGAGGAGAGGGAAGGCCGUCGCAGGUUUGCUGAAGUCUAAACAAGCGGACCCUUUGAUCGACCGUGCGUUCCUGCAAUCCGACAACCAUGGGGCUUUCGAGCCUGCCGACCCCAUCGGAGAGCGUUCUCACCCUCGUGCUCGUCAACACUGCCCUCACCGUGUCGACCGUGAAGGAGCUCCUCCGCUCCGCCCUCCACGUGCUCGGCCUUCGCGCCGCCCCGCCGUCGACGACGAGGACGACGCCGGAGGGGCCACCGGAGCCCAGCUUCACCGACCGGUUCCGCAGCCGGACCAGCCCGGUCCGUUUCGCCUCGGCGAUGUCGUGUCGCCGGCCCGGCGCCGCGGACUGCCGGGUCUGCCUUGCCCGGUUCGAGCCGGAGUCGGUGGUGAACCGGCUCCCCUGUGGCCACCUCUUCCAUAAGGCAUGCCUGGAGACGUGGCUCGAUCAUCGUCACGCCACAUGUCCUUUGUGCAGGACCCAUGUCCUCCAGGGCGUGGACCCGGCCGUCUCCGCCGCUUCCUCGUUGCCAUGGUUUUAGCUCUUAAUUACCGUGAAAUGCCCCAGAAAGCCUCCUCUUUCUUUUUUUCCCCCCUUUUUCUGUGUAUUUUCUUUUUUAUUACUUCUUUGUAAAUAUUGAGGUAGUAUAUAUACACUGUUCAAUAUAACUUACUCUCA